UUCCACCUGGCCUGGAGGGGUGGGGCCCUGUUCCUCUCCAGCUACAAAAGCAGCAACUGCUGAAGGGGCCAGAGACCAUCUACCUGUGAAGGAACGGAGCCACUGCAGAACAGUGCCCCUGAGUCCCAUCCCUGCAAAGUGACCCAGAAGCAUACCAUGGUCGAUGGUAUUGAAAGCUGCUGAGAGGUCCAGGAGAACCAACAGGGACACACUCCCCCUGUCCAGCUCUCUUCGUAGGUCGUCCACCAAGGUGACCAAGGCUGUCUCCAUCCCAUAACCAGGCCUGAAACCAGACUGAAAUGGAUCUAGAUACUCUGUUUCUUCCAAGAAUCCCUGAAGCUGGGAGGCCACCACACACUCUAUUACCUUCCCCAAGAAUGGAAUGUUGGACACUGGCCGGAAGGAACGGAGCCACUGCAGAACAGUGCCCCUGAGUCCCAUCCCUGCAAAGUGACCCAGAAGAAUACCAUGGUCGAUGGUAUUGAAAGCUGCUGAGAGGUCCAGGAGAACCAACAGGGACACACUCCCCCUGUCCAGCUCUCUUCGUAGGUCGUCCACCAAGGUGACCAAGGCUGUCUCCAUCCCAUAACCAGGCCUGAAACCAGACUGAAAUGGAUCUAGAUACUCUGUUUCUUCCAAGAAUCCCUGAAGCUGGGAGGCCACCACACACUCUAUUACCUUCCCCAAGAAUGGAAUGUUGGACACUGGCCGGUAAUUAUCCAUUAUAGAGGGGUCCAGGGAGGGCUUUUUUAACAGAGGUCUUACCACUGCCUCCUUCAGGCAACCUGGCAUUCUGCCUUGACAUAAGGAGGCAUUAACAACUCUCUGUACCCAGA